GGACGAUUAGCUCAGUUGGUUAGAGCGCACGAUUCACAUUCGUGAGGUCACUGGUCCGAGCCCAGUAUCGUCCA
rnacentral:tRNA from 1 species